rnacentral:rRNA from 1 species
AUACGUAGGUGACAAGCGUUCUCCGGAUUUACUGGGCGUAAAGGGCGUGUAGGCGGUCUUGCAAGUCAGAAGUGAAAUUCCUGAGCUCAACUCGGGCGCUGCUUCUGAAACUGCAGGACUUGAGUGCUGGAGGGGAUAGCGGAAUUCCUAGUGGAGCGGUAAAAUGCGCAGAUAUUAGGAAGAACACCGGUGGCGAAGGCGGCUAUCUGGACAGUAACUGACGCUGAGGCGCGAAAGCGUGGGGAGCAAACAGGAUUAGAUACCCUUGUAGUCCACGCCGUAAACGAUGAAUACUAGGUGUAGGGGGUAUCGACUCCCUCUGUGCCGCAGUUAACACAAUAAGUAUUCCGCCUGGGGAGUACGGCCGCAAGGUUGAAACUCAAAUGAAUUGACGGGG